CUAUGUAUUAUUAUACUAUAAGCGAUCAGUAUAGAUAUUAUUCUUCUGGUAGCAAAGAUUUUGAUGGAAGUCAGUUUGACCAGGAAUUGUUAGUGAGCGAGAUUAGGUAUCUAUACCGUAGCUGUCCAGAUUUAUUUGAAGUUUCGGAGAAGGAAGUGGAAAAGAUAGUGAAAUCAAUACUUUCGCGUGAGUAUAGAUUUCAUUCUUCUAAUUCUUCAAUAAGUUCAGGGAAGGUCUUCCUUCCUCCUACUUACCUCAAAAAAAAAUAAUGCAUAGCAAUGGGUGGAUCAGAGACAUCAAUGGUUGAGAAGAUACAUAGCUUUAUAUUCCUC
rnacentral:lncRNA from 1 species